rnacentral:lncRNA from 10 species
CAGCUACUUGAGAGGCUAAGGCAGGAGAAUCGCUUGAACUCAGGAGGCAGAGGUUGCAGUGAGCCGAGAUUGCACCAUUGCACUCCAGCCUGGGUGACAGCAAGACCCCAUCACAAAAAAAAAAAAAAAAAACAGUAAAAAUUAUCCAUAUGUCUGUCAUUAGAAAGACUCCUGCACAGCCAGUUUAUUUGGAAGGUGACUCCAAGAGGGGAUCAUGGGACCAGGGAGAAUGAGGCGGGGAAGAUUGAAAAGCCCAAUUAAAAAUGGAAGUUGAUCACUCCUGAAAGCAACAGCACUUGAUUCUGCCUCCUGAAUAACUUACAGAAUUGCCCACUGGCGGUCAGGAGGUGGGAGCACAGCCAUUAGAGAGAAACUCUAGAGAAAAAAAGCAAAACAACUCAAGACACAUACUUGAGUCAAGAUGCUGUCAGCACAAGCUGAUUCUACAUUCACGUGGAACUGUCCCCUUCAAGUGUGGCUGACAUCAGAGGUGGCCCAACUGGACAUGUCAUGAGGCUCCUGUCACAGAAGCACAACUCCCCACAUCCGUGCACUAGGUACAGCUUAGUGACCAACACCUUCGGUACUGCUAAGGAUCCCUACAGAAGUUCUGCCUCUACUGUCAACUAGCAGAGCUAUGAGGCCUUGGCCCAGACCCAUCACCUCUCUGGGAUUCAAUGCCCUCAUCUCUAGAACUAUGUGGCCUCCAGAGUCUGUUUGCUCUCAGAAUCUUUGACGUCAUGAUUCCUUACCAUAACAAGUAUCAUUUAUAAAUGAAGGCUGCAUAGAGUUGCUGGAAAAAAAAUUAUAGAAUGUGCUCAAAGCACCCUGGAAUAAGAGAACAAAGGACAUACAUAUAUAAAGAGUGACAGCCUACAAUUCAAACAUUGAUGGGUAACAUAUGUGCUUAAAGCAGUACCCAACUCCUACCCCCAGCAAGAACGAAAACUAGAGAAGAAGAUACAAAUAUCUAUUGGCUGAUGAAGAGUCUACUCCACUCAGGAAAGAACAUGUGGAAACCAUGAGAAAUGAAAGUACCCCGCCAAACCCAGCCAAAUCCAACCUCACCUCUCCUAGACACUUCCCCCUACAGUUUCUGGAGUUUCCCAGCUUCCUUGAGCAGGGAGCUUGCUCUUGAGAGAAGUGACUUCAGCUGAGGCAUUUCCCGCAGUGUGGACUGAAAGCUGAGGGUUAUUUGCUGGCAGUACUCCCAGAACUUGACUGGACUCAAACAUCUGGCCUCAAGUGAUCCUCCUGCUUUGGCCUCCUAAAGUGUUGAGAUUACAGACAUGAAUCACCGCACUCAGCCUGAGACAUACUUCUUUAAUUCCUGUAACAUUAUUUUAUGCUUUGAUACCUGAUGGAUAAUGCAGGGCCAAGCUGCACCAUGUUCCUAAGAGAAAGCCAAGAACAUAAGUCACACAAGCCCUCAGGAAGAGAAGGAAAGAAUGAGUGACAGUAGACCGCAGAUGUGAGCAAAUUCAUGGAGGAUGGAAACUGAAUGAGGGAAUGGUGGCUGGCUUAACUUAACAGAGGAAAGUGCAUUCUAAAUACCUAUCAUAAAAGCAACAAAGAGAAUAAGCCUAUCCACUCCACACUUUGGAACUGCCUGUUUAAAAGUUGAUCCCCGGACCCCACCAAGUCUACAAGCUCCACCUCAAGGACAGAAUGGAAACUGUAUUCAUCGAGGGGCUUUUAAUUGACAAAUAAAAAUUGUAUAUAUUUAUCCAUGUAUAAUAUGAAGGUUUGAAAUAUGUAUACACUGGGGAAUGGCUAAAUCAAGCUAACUAACAUCUGCAUUACCUCACAUACUUAUUUUUUGUGGUGAGAACACUUAAAAUCUACUCUCUUAGUAAUUUUCAAGAGUACAAUAUAUUGUUAUUAACUAUAGUCACAAUGUUGUCUAGCAGACCCUUCUCAGAAUCUAACAAAAUGUUUGGCUAGUAAUAGGGGCUCAAAAAGUAUUUGUGAGUGAAAAGAGUGAAUAUAUUAAUUAAUUUGUUAAUGUAUUCACUGGCAGGUGUAUUUACCUAAUUCAGUCUUUAAAAUAAUGUUCUAUAUUCCAAGUUUUCCUUAGGGAGUUAACCCAAUAUUAUAGCUUGAUUGUUUACACAAGACCCAUAAAACAAACUAUAAUAGCAAUAGUCAACAAAGAGAUGAUAUUGGCAUAAUAUAAUGCUAUAUUGGUUUUAUUGUGCUGCCAUAACAAAUUACCAAAAAUUUAGUAUCUUAAAAC